GAUGAACGCUGGCGGCGUGCCUAAUACAUGCAAGUCGAGCGAACGGACGAGAAGCUUGCUUCUCUGAUGUUAGCGGCGGACGGGUGAGUAACACGUGGAUAACCUACCUAUAAGACUGGGAUAACUUCGGGAAACCGGAGCUAAUACCGGAUAAUAUUUUGAACCGCAUGGUUCAAAAGUGAAAGACGGUCUUGCUGUCACUUAUAGAUGGAUCCGCGCUGCAUUAGCUAGUUGGUAAGGUAACGGCUUACAAAGGCAACGAUGCAUAGCCGACCUGAGAGGGUGAUCGGCCACACUGGAACUGAGACACAGUCCAGACUCCUACGGAAGGCAGCAGUAGGGAAUCUGCCGCAAUGGGCGAAAGCCUGACGGAGCAACGCCGCGUGAGUGAUGAAGGUCUUCGGAUCGUAAACCUCUUUUAUUAGGGAAGAACAUAUGUGUAAGUAAGUGUGCACAUCUUGACGGUACCUAAUCAGAAAGCCACGGCUAACUACGUG
rnacentral:rRNA from 1 species